CAGAGGUCCCAAGCGUUGUUCGGAUUCACUGGGCGUAAAGGGUGCGUAGGCGGUCGGGUAAGUCUGAUGUGAAAUCUCCGAGCCUAACUCGGAAACUGCAUUGGAUACUAUUCGGCUUGAGGUCUGGAGGGGGGACUGGAAUUCUCGGCGUAGCAGUGAAAUGCGUAGAUAUCGAGAGGAACACCAGUGGCGAAGGCGAGUCCCUGGACAGGUCCUGACGCUGAGGCACGAAAGCUAGGGGAGCAAACAGGAUUAGAUACCCUGGUAGUCCUAGCCGUAAACGGUGCUUAUUUGCUGUAAAAGGAAUCGACCCCUUUUGUGGCGUAGCUAACGCGUUAAAUAAGCCGCCUGGGAAGUACGGUCGCAAGAUUA
rnacentral:rRNA from 1 species